rnacentral:ncRNA from 2 species
CCGCUCCUCGCAGGAGAGAGGGCGUGUACUCCAGCAUACUUCAAGCUACAUGUACGUUGGCAUAAAGUAUAACGCUCCGCCGAAGGCGCAAACUCCCAUAAUCGCUCAGGCUACCCUAACUGCGAAUU